UGGGGAAUUUUGGACAAUGGGCGCAAGCCUGAUCCAGCCAUGCCGCGUGCGGGAAGAAGGCCUUCGGGUUGUAAACCGCUUUUGUCAGGGAAGAAAUCUUCUGAGUUAAUACCUCGGGAGGAUGACGGUACCUGAAGAAUAAGCACCGGCUAACUACGUGCCAGCAGCCGCGGUAAUACGUAGGGUGCAAGCGUUAAUCGGAAUUACUGGGCGUAAAGCGUGCGCAGGCGGUUUUGUAAGACAGAGGUGAAAUCCCCGGGCUCAACCUGGGAACUGCCUUUGUGACUGCAAGGCUUGAGUGCGGCAGAGGGGGGAUGGAAUUCCGCGUGUAGCAGUGAAAUGCGUAGAUAUGCGGAGGAACACCGAUGGCGAAGGCAAUCCCCUGGGCCUGCACUGACGCUCAUGCACGAAAGCGUGGGGAGCAAACAGAUUAGAUACCCCUGGUAGUCCACGCCCUAAACGAUGUCAACUGGUUGUUGGGAAGGUUCCUUCUCAGUAACGUAGCUAACGCGUGAAGUUGACCGCCUGGGGAGUACGGCCGC
rnacentral:rRNA from 1 species